CUACGGGAGGCUCCAGUGGGGAAUAUUGGACAAUGGGGGAAACCCUGAUCCAGCAAUGCCGCGUGUGUGAAGAAGGCCUGCGGGUUGUAAAGCACUUUCGGUUGGGAGGACUGCUUCUAGCACUAAUAUUGUUGGAAGUUGAUGUUACCUUCAGAAGAAGCACCGGCUAACUCCGUGCCAGCAGCCGCGGUAAUACGGAGGGUGCACGCGUUAAUCGGAAUUACUGGGCGUAAAGCGCGCGUAGGCGGCUAGAUCAGUCGGGUGUGAAAGCCCCGGGCUUAACCGGGGAACUGCAUCCGAUACUGUCUAGCUUGAGUACAGGAGAGGAGAGUGGAAUUCCACAUGUAGCGGUGAAAUGCGUAGAUAUGUGGAGGAACACCAAUGGCGAAGGCAGCUCUCUGGCCUGAUACUGACGCUGAGGUGCGAAAGCGUGGGGAGCAAACAGGAUUAGAUACCCCAGUAGUC
rnacentral:rRNA from 1 species